rnacentral:sRNA from 1 species
AAUCCCCAGUUAGGUUGGCGGGGCAGUAAAGUUUUCAACUUUAAGUCAGCUAAAAGACCUCCUUUGAUUUGUUAAAACGCCUUGCGGCCUGGCAACCGCAAAAGUUCAACAAGAAAUCAAAAG